rnacentral:rRNA from 1 species
UAGGGAAUCUUCCACAAUGGGCGAAAGCCUGAUGGAGCAACGCCGCGUGUGUGAUGAAGGGUUUCGGCUCGUAAAACACUGUUGUAAGAGAAGAAUGACAUUGAGAGUAACUGUUCAAUGUGUGACGGUAUCUUACCAGAAAGGAACGGCUAAAUACAUCCCAG